rnacentral:tRNA from 1 species
GGCCUCGUCGUCUAGCCUGGCCUAGGACACAUGGUUCUCAGCCAUGGAACCCGGGUUCAAAUCCCGGCGAGGUCA